AUUGAACGCUGGCGGCAUGCCUUACACAUGCAAGUCGAACGGUAACAGGUCUUCGGAUGCUGCCGAGUGGCGCACGGGUGAGUAAUACAUCGGAACGUGCCCGAUCGUGGGGGAUAACGAGGCGAAAGCUUUGCUAAUACCGCAUACGAUCUACGGAUGAAAGCGGGGGAUCUUCGGACCUCGCGCGGACGGAGCGGCCGAUGGCAGAUUAGGUAGUUGGUGGGAUAAAAGCUUACCAAGCCGACGAUCUGUAGCUGGUCUGAGAGGAUGAUCAGCCACACUGGGACUGAGACACGGCCCAGACUCCUACGGGAGGCAGCAGUGGGGAAUUUUGGACAAUGGGCGAAAGCCUGAUCCAGCCAUGCCGCGUGCAGGAUGAAGGCCUUCGGGUUGUAAACUGCUUUUGUACGGAACGAAAAGCCUCUUUCUAAUAAAGAGGGGUCAUGACGGUACCGUAAGAAUAAGCACCGGCUAACUACGUG
rnacentral:rRNA from 1 species